GUCCCUGUGGCGCAAUGAAUAAGAGCGUUGGACUUAUAAUUCAAAGGGCGUGGGUUCGAAUCCCACUUGGGAUG